rnacentral:rRNA from 1 species
AUGGGAUCAUACUCAAUUUUGCGUCCCCCCGGCCUCAACUUCCCGUCGCCCGUCUGCCGGGCGAUGAGGCAAUCCAAGUCCAUGGUUCUCGCUACCGCCGCCCCGCCUGGUUUCUCUUCCGCCGGCCCGCCUGGGUUCUCUUCCGCGCCCCUCCACGGCAGCCGCGGCCAGGACUUGGUCAGUGGCCUCGGAGGCGACAAGGAUAACAUCGACCAAGUGUCCCAUGGCCAUGUUGCAAUAGGACCUGAUUUGGCUUCUGUGGACUUGUCUGCUGGGGAUCUCCCAACGCCCUCUGACCAGCUGUUGUUGCCAGCCCAGCCUCGCUGCAACAUAAAGAAUGCGGUGGCCGUUGUCUCCAAGGUUGCCACUUCUACAAGUCAUAACAGCCAAGCUACCGAGCAGACCGCGAGCAAAGGCAAAGGACAAUCUGACGCUGCUGUUGUCACUUCGAAAGCCACUCAAGAAGUGAUUACUGUGGAGGAUGCUGAAGAGCGUGUUCAAAUGCACGUUGAUCCACCUAGUGUAAGGCGAAAUCCAGUGGAGAUGGACACCAAUCAUGAGAUGGUACCAAAAUUUCCGGAAAUUCACUUGGAUGCAAAUGUCCGAGCACAGACCGAUAUUGUACAACCCAGUCCGAGUGCAUUGGCGGUUACGGCGCCCCGACGUGCAACGCCUCCUACUGUUUCGUAUGUAGUGUAUCCGUUGGCCAGUACUCGAGAGGAUGAGGUUAGCGUCGGCAAAGAGGCCAUGAUUUCAGCCGAGUUGGUGAGCUCCAAGCAGAAGGAUGCAACCAAUUCAAGUGAGGUUCUGAAAGCUCAUAACCCAGUAAGUACCACGAAAUACUGUGAACUGGAAUCCAAGAAUCUGGCAUUGCAGGAAGAAGUCGAAAGUCUCCGUGCAGAACUGGAGAAAGAGAAAAGGAAGAACGAGAAGCUCGAGCAGGAGAAAGCUACCACGGGAGGUAAACUUGCCAUCACAGGCACCACCAUCCCAUGCCACAAUAACCAAGAGCGCCAAAACAAAUACUCCCAGAAGAGCAAAGGCGGACACGCAAAUACCGCCUUUCAAGAUCACCUCCCUCCCUCAAAAAAAUCAAAUCAUAGUACAUAUAACUUGAGGGACAAAACAAGUAAAGGGAUGCUUGAUGAUGAAAAUUUUGAAUUGUACAUGGAGUAUGUCCUACCUUUUUCUUAG